rnacentral:rRNA from 1 species
GUCAAAUCAUCAUGCCCCUUAUGUCCUGGGCUACACACGUGCUACAAUGGCCAGUAACAAAGGGAAGCGAAGCGGUGACGCGGAGCAAAUCCCAUAAAUCUGGUCCCAGUUCGGAUUGUGGGCUGCAACCCGCCCACAUGAAGUCGGAGUUGCUAGUAAUCGCGAAUCAGCAUGUCGCGGUGAAUACGUUCCCGGGCCUU